rnacentral:tRNA from 1 species
CUAAGGAUGGUUCUUCAGAAGCUUGCUUCUAUCGAACCGUUUUAGAAACAUCAGUGGCCAACGAUCGUCAGGAUUGUUGAGCUGCAUUGGCGGGAUUUCGCCGUCUACGUUUCUCUUUCUUUUGCGGACGAACACGCGCCGGGGCUUAGCGCUGUGCGAUGGUCUUGCGUUGACGCGAUGCGUUGGCGUGAGCCGAUGCACGCUGACAAGACCCUCGUGUUAGGGCUUGUAGCUCAGUUGGUUAGAGCGCGCGCUUGAUAAGCGUGGGGUCGGAAGUUCAAGUCUUCCCAGGCCCACCACUUAAUCGAGUGUAGCAUUCGUCUUCUGGUACGGGGCCAUAGCUCAGCUGGGAGAGCGCGUGCUUUGCAAGCAUGAGGUCGUCGGUUCGAUCCCGUCUGGCUCCACCAGAUGGAAUUCGAGGAUCGAUGCGCUGCUUGCUGAUCGUCGUCCGCAAAACAUCACUUCGCACACGCUGCCUUGAUGGCACCGCGUGCGUGUUAUCUGACAUUGUAAAGAGGAGAUCGAUCCGAGUUUUGGAUCUGCGAAGCAAUUCGCGGGUACCAAUUCAUAAUCUCCAGAUCAUUUCGGCGCUCGCCGAUCGAAACUCACCGCAAGGUGGGCGAGAGAAGCGAGUUGUAAAUGAUCUUUUUGGUGAAGCUUGACCGCCUCAUCAUCGGGUUGAUCUUACGAAGCAAGCUGGUCUUUCUAAUCAUUGUCCGGCCGCGCAUAGCCUUCAUCGAGGGGGCGCGCUUGAGGUUUCGACCUCACAGCAAUUGUGCGGACAACAUUCUGCCGAGUGUGUGGACAUUGAUAAUGAGAGCA